CACGUAGGGGACGAGCGUUGUCCGGAUUCAUUGGGCGUAAAGCGCGCGUAGGCGGCUCGGAAAGUCGGUCGUGAAAUGCCGGGGCUCAACCCCGGGACUGCGUCCGAUACUUCCGGGCUGGAGGUAGGUAGGGGAGAUCGGAAUUCCUGGUGUAGCGGUGAAAUGCGCAGAUAUCAGGAGGAACACCGGGUGGCGAAGGCGGAUCUCUGGGCCUUACCUGACGCUGAGGCGCGAAAGCUAGGGGAGCGAACAGG
rnacentral:rRNA from 1 species